rnacentral:rRNA from 1 species
UACCAGAGUACUAUGAAUAUUAAUAAUUUAAAACUCAAAGGACUUGGCGGUGUUUUAGACCACUUAGGGGAACCUGUCUCAUAAUCGAUAAUCCACGAUAUACCUGACCUUUUUUUGUUUUCAGCUUGUAUACCGUUGUCGUCAGGUAACUUUUUAGAAAUUAAGAGUUAGCAACAGAAAGUUGUAGGUAAUUCAGUACGUCAAAUCAAGGUGCAGCUAAUAAGAAGGGGAGGAUGGGUUACAGUUAUAUGAAUUAUAACGGAUAGAUGUGUGAAAUCACAUAAAUUAUAAGGUGGACUUAAAAGUAAAUUAGAAUAUAUAAAUAAUUUGAAUGAGGCUCUGAAGCGUGU